rnacentral:rRNA from 1 species
UGGGGAAUUUUGCGCAAUGGGGGCAACCCUGACGCAGCGACGCCGCGUGAGCGAUGAAGGCCUUCGGGUUGUAAAGCUCUGUCAAGAGGGACGAAUGGCUACGAGUCUAACAGGCUCGUGGAGUGACGGUACCUCUGGAGGAAGCACCGGCUAACUCUGUGCCAGCAGCCGCGGUAAUACAGAGGGUGCAAGCGUUAUUCGGAAUCACUGGGCGUACAGCGUAUGUAGGUGGGUAAGAAAGUCAGUUGUGAAAUCCCGGAGUUUAACUUCGGAAUUGCAAUUGAAACUUCUUAUCUUGAGAUUGGGAGAGGAUGGUAGAAUUCUUGGUGUAGAGGUGAAAUUCGUAGAUAUCAAGAGGAAUACCGGAGGCGAAGGCGGCCAUCUGGCCCAAUACUGACGCUGAGAUACGAGAGCGUGGGUAGCAAACAGGAUUAGAUACCCUGGUAGUCCACGCUGUAAACGAUGCAUACUAACCGUUUGAGGAAUU